GCAAACAUAUAACUGAGACCAGUCCAUCAAUGGGAGAGUUCGAGCCGAGUUUGAAAGCAAGUUGAAGACCCGAAUGACUGAUCAAAUGUCUCGGUGGAAGUCUAAGUGGAGAGUAAAAGGUGAUGAUGCAAAGCCGCGGUGGCUUGAUCCUACAAUAUGUGAAGGCUUGGUCAAAUUUUGGUGUGAACCAAAAUCUGAGGAAAAGAGUAUCAACAGUCGAGAUUCUCAAUACAGUGAUCCUGAUGGCACUGGAAUGCAUAAACACCGGUCUGGUCAGACCUCCUUUAAAGCCCGUGCACGAAAACAUUCGGAGAUGACUGGUGAGACACUUCCUGAUUUCUUGAAAGUCCUAGAAGAUACUCAUAGUAAACCUGAUGGGUCGUUUAUGGAUGGAUUAUCUGAGAAGGUAUACCAUCGAGGAUAACUGAGGCUGAAACUGGGCUAUGCUCAGGGGACAAUAUAGAGAGUAGUGCUUCUGGCGGAUUUUCAGUUAGUAUAAAGAACCAAAUUUUUGCUGAGGUUGCUCCGAAGAAGAAAAACAGGAUAUAUGGAGUCAGUAAUAUGCAAACUGAAGCAUCUUCAGCUCAUGUUGUUCUCACGCCUACUCCGACUGAAGAUCCAGUCAUUCUAGCUGAGAAGCUUUCUCAGGCCGAAGCUGUUCUUGCGAGUCAGUCUACUCAGUUAGAAGAUUAUGCAUUGAAGUUGCAACAAAAUACUCAGAAGAUGCAUUGCUACGAUGCCUACUUCGAUUAUCUAUCUGAGAAGGACCCUGAAUUUGCUGCAAGAUUUCCCCGACCUGAGACUGAUGCCACCAUUGAUACCGGAGCAGGAGAUACCACGAGACCA